GAAAUUAGUGCUGCAAACCGUUUGCGCGAUGCAAAGCCGAAAAAGAAAAAAAUGAAGAGAUGUGUAUGUGGAGAGGUGGAUCAACACCACACGCGGACAGCAGGGAUUUAAGAGUUGGAGAAUAGGACAGGCUUCGCAAAGCAUGACUUGGAGAGCGUUUGUCUUUGACCCUGCGAUUCUAUGCAACAGGUGACACGUUCAAGUCCCUCAGGUUCAAGUCCAGGAUGGGGGACCAGCACCAUCCCACAAAUAGUUUUGGAUACCUGUUCUGUUCUGUACCCGGUUAUAAAGGACGAUUUCUUGAAG